rnacentral:misc_RNA from 1 species
GAAAUGCGAUAAGUAGUGUGAAUUGCAGAAUUCAGUGAAUCAUCGAAUCUUUGAACGCACAUUGCGCCCCUUGGUAUUCCAUGGGGCAUGCCUGUUCGAGCGUCAUUUGUACCCUCAAGCUCUGCUUGGUGUUGGGUGUUUGUCCCGUCUCCGCGCGUGGACUCGCCCCAAAGUGAUUGGCAGCCGGCGUACUGGUCCCGGAGCGCAGCACAUGUCGCGCAAACGAGUGCCUUGGUACGGCGGCGUCCAUAAGCCCCUCUCUCACGCUCUUGACCUCGGAUCAGGUAGGGAUACCCGCUGAACUUAGGC